GGAGCUUGCUUCGGUGUCCUUAGUGGCGGACGGGUGAGUAACGCGUGGGAAUUUGCCUUACAGUUCGGAAUAACCACGGGAAACUGUGGCUAAUACCGUAUACGCCCUCCGGGGGAAAGAUUUAUCGCUGUUUGAUGAGCCCGCGUCGGAUUAGCUUGUUGGUGAGGUAAUGGCUCACCAAGGCAACGAUCCGUAGCUGGUCUGAGAGGAUGACCAGCCACACUGGGACUGAGACACGGCCCAGACUCC
rnacentral:rRNA from 1 species